AACAGAGAAGAAAGGAAUGAUGAUGGUGGUGAUCGUGGCACGGGGUUAGCAGUCUUCACUCAAAGUGCCCAAACAUUUGGGUUAAUCCGAAGGGGACCUGAUGUGCCGGUCAAUGAACUCGAGAUGGCUGAAUGGUUUGUCUUAUACAAUAGUUCAGAAGUGGAUCAAUAUCGAGAGGAACACAAGAACUACAUACAAGGUGAGAGUGAAGUUGACAUCACAAACAGACAACGUAAAGAAUUUCCCAAGUGGUUCAAAGAUCGCAUGACUCAACUUCGAAACCAGCGAUCACCGGAAGCUACUGAUGAAUUAUGGUCAUUGGCCAACGGUCCUCGUC